CAUCCAAUUGGGGACGGAGGGAG
rnacentral:miRNA from 1 species